rnacentral:rRNA from 1 species
UACGGAGGGUGCGAGCGUUGUCCGGAAUCAUUGGGCGUAAAGGGCGCGUAGGCGGCUUGAUAAGCGUGCGGUGAAAGCCCGGGGCUCAACCCCGGGUCGGCCGUGCGAACUGUCGAGCUGGAGCACUGUAGAGGCAGGUGGAAUUCCGGGUGUAGCGGUGGAAUGCGUAGAGAUCCGGAAGAACACCGGUGGCGAAGGCGGCCUGCUGGACAGUGGCUGACGCUGAGGCGCGACAGCGUGGGGGAGCAAACAGG